UGCAGUGUUGCCGUGAGGUUGCGGAGAAAUACCGGGAGAUAAAGUAUGAGGAAGUGGUCAUUGACAAUGGUUGUAUGAUGCUUGUGAAGAAUCCUGCACUUUGUGAUGUAUUGGUGAUGCCUAACCUCUAUGGUGAGAUUACGAGCGAUCUUUGUGCCGGAUUGAUCUGUGGCUUGGGAAUGAGUUAACACCAAGUUGCAGUAGUGGUGAGGGAGGAAUAGCUCUUGCUGAAGCAGUUCAUGGUUCAGCACCGGUUAUCACGAGAAAGAAUCUAGCAAACCCUACUGCUUUGUUAUCAAGUGCGGUUACGAUGUUACGACACUUGAAUCUCCAUGACAUGGCCGAAAGUAUUCAGAAUGCCGUUUGUAGCACAAUUUCUGAGGUAAAAUAUUGAACCGCCGACCUCGGCGGCUCUUCGGCAACAGCUGAUUUCACUAAGGCAAUCUCCGACCACCUCUUAUAUAUUGUUUCUUCGUACCAUUUCGAAUUUUGCAUCCGAGUAUGGGAAUGAAGAUAUAGU